rnacentral:rRNA from 1 species
GACAGAGGGUGCAAACGUUUGUUCGGAAUUACUGGGCGUAAAGCGCGUGUAGGCGGCAAGGCAAGUCGGAUGUGAAAGCCCACGGCUCAACCGUGGAAGUGCACCCGAAACUGCCUAGCUAGAGUCUCGGAGAGGAAGGUGGAAUGCUUGGUGUAGAGGUGAAAUUCGUAGAUAUCAAGCGGAACACCGAUGGCGAAGGCAGGUCUCUGGGCCACUACUGACGCUGAGAAGCGAAAGCAUGGGGAGCGAACAGG